rnacentral:lncRNA from 1 species
UAGGCUGGCUGGGGAGCCAAGAAGAGUGUAUGGUUGGGGCCUAGAUAUAGCUCUUUUUGAGAAAGAGAUUACUGAAGCAGCUUUUAUAAUUCUUUCAUGUUAUGCUGGUGGUUCUUUUGUAGCUGGACAAGGAUUUGUUAUCAUUUACAUAAUUCAAGACAAUAAUAUUUAUCAUGUAUUUUUGAGAAAUCAAGCACCCUUUGUUAUUGUCGUGAAAUUAUUUUCGUUGAGCAUCACUCAUUUGUUCUUUGGCUUAAUUUUCCCUAACGAGAAAAUAAUCUGUUUUUUAAUCACGCACUGACAAACACGCCAGGGGGUGGGGACGGAUAGCGAGGAAGGACUGCCGCAAUGGCGACCAGCGGCGUGCCCGCGAUUGGUGCAAUUCCGUUCUUCACUUUUAUUCUCGACUCCCCAGCCUUUUACUUUUACUGUUCUCCCCUUUAUUCUUGACUCCCCAGCCUUUUACUUUUAUCGAAGGGUUGGACGUACUUUGUUGCGGUUUUCAUAAUGUUUUUGCUCCCUCUGUUUUAAAAUGUAAAGUGUAUUAGUUAUUUAGAAAGUUAAAGCUUUUUAUUUUUAGAGAAAUAUACCAAUACCCAUAUUAUCAAAUUAGUAUCAUUAUAUUCAUCAUGAAAUGAAUUUUAUAUUUUAUUUAUUUAGUAGAAUCGUGGAUGUUGAGAUAUUCUUGGCUUUGAACUUGGUCAAAGUUAAAAAAAACUUGACUUAUCAAAAAACAAAUACACCUUAUAUUUUGGAAUGAGUGAGUAUUUCGUUUGGUGAGUGUGAGAGAUGAUGAAAUGUGCAGUGUUUUGAUGGGCCUUAGUAUGAUUUUAUGUUAUUUGCUAAUCAAUCUAUACUUAUGUGCGGUAUAAGUUUCUGCGUCGGUGUCUGCACUUACUAUAUUUCGUACUAUAUUUGUACUAUAAUAUUACUUCAUCCGUUUUGUUAUAUUUGAUGUAUUUGUUUUUUGAUAAAAUUUCACAAUCCAAGGUACAUUUCCUCUAAUUCCAUACUACAAUAUUACUCUAUCUGUUUCUUUAUAUAUGGUGUAUUUGUUUUUGAUAAAAUUUCACAAUCUAAGAUACAUUUCUUCUAAUUUUGUUUUUAGCCCUAAAAAAAGUAUCUCCCCUAUGAUUGUUGAUUGCAUGUACAUCUCCUUUUAGAGAAAAAAAAGAAAUUAUCUCUUUUCUGAUUGCGUGUAUCUCUUUUUUUACUAGGCUAAAUGAUUUGCUUAUAAUCAACUAAUUAGUUGUCGGGGGGAUGGCCCCCAGACAGGCAACGGAAUCCGGAACCUUUCCAAAAACAUCGGGGCAAGCAAAGCCCCUCAAUUUGGCUCGCCCUGGCCGGCUCCCAGCGCGACCCGGCCAAGCGCCGCAACCCGGCCGGCUGGCUGGCGCAUGCCGACCGUCCGCGAGAAGUCAACCCACGGCAACAAGUAAGCAUGGCUACAGUGCGCCCCCUUUGCUCCGGCCCCGACGGGCGCGGCUGCCGUGCCGACCAAGCCACUGCCCGGGGCGGGCAGCGCCUCGGAGGCACAACUCUGUAGCAAGGCGGCGCUGCCGUCCCACGACGUCGGGCGAGGCAUGCCACAAUACCCAGCAGCCGGUCGACCUGCGCCCGCAGCCCCGGUACGGCCCGCACCCGACGGACCCGGCGGCCCCCACCGUCGGCUCCUAGACACUGAUGCCAGGGCCCCACACCCAUGUAUCUUUACCAUUGUAACCACGGGGGGCCAGCCUAUAAGACCCCCGGAGCCCCUCCAUGCAGAGGGUCGAUUCUCUAGUUUAGCACAAACACACAUCCACCCAUAUAGAGGAGAAGCAAUGCAUGCAUUGGCCUGUCUUCCUCCCCUCAAACAGCUCUAGGAGCAAGCCUGUAUCCACUUCGUAUAAACCAUACUCGGUAGUACUAAGGGGUAUUAUCUCUCCGGAGAGCCCUGAACCUGGGUACGUCUCGUGUCUCACACUUGUGUGUACCAACCUUGCCUCUGGAGCCCACCGGUGCCCUUGUGCCUGUCCCCUCUUUUAGCCAUCCUAUGGCAUCUGCCGUGAGAUCACCACGACAGUUAGCGCCCACCGUGGGGCAGCUAGCGGCACCGGCCGGAGUCACGUUCCAGACGGGGCCCUUCACCAACUCCGGCGAGCGCAUCAUGCACGGCUUGGUUCCCGCGCUCGACGCGGUGCCGGCCGGCUUCGCCGGCUCGUCUGUCGUCCCCUUCGGCGCGCUGCGCGUCUCCGUCGCGCUCGUCCCCGAAGAGCACCCCAGCGAGGUGCUCGACGUCACCGACUCGCCCGUCCCCCUCGCCUGUGACAUCUCCAGCGACAUGGAGGACCUCUGCACCCGCGUGGAGGUGCUUGUUACUGAUUCCGGCUCCACCUCGUCCAGCGCAGCGAAGAAGGCCUCCGCGGUCAAUGCUGCAGCCGCUCGCGCCAGCACGACCGACCCGCUGCGCGCAAUACUGCAGAACCUCAGCAUCCCCAUCACCACUGACGUCGACUCCACCCAUGCCAUGGCCCGGCUCGACGAGGAACGCGUGCGCCUGCUAGACGAGGCCACGACGCGUGCUGCUACGUAGCGCCGAUUGGAAUCCGUCCAGCGGGAGUGCGACGCCGCGUACGGCUUCACGCUGGCCACACCUGAACCCAGCCGGGUCACCGAGGUGCGGACUUGCAGCGCUGCCAUCGGCCGCGCGCUGGGCGCAGUCCCGCCCGUCUACGAAACCACCGUCAAGAACAUGAACACCGUGGAGGCGACCGCUGUGGGCGGGGAGCACCUGCAGGGCGAUAAGCCGCAGGAGCGCCUGUAGCGCAUGUGUGAACUCCUCACCGCUGCGAACACACAGUAGGACUGCCUCAACGCCCCCGCGGCAUCCGUCUCACGCCAUACCAGGGACACCGAGCAGCGGAACACAACGUCCUCCACGCACCCCAGUGAAGCCUAGUCCGGGAAGACCCGAACCCGGCGUGACUGCGCCCUGACGGCUGGCGACGACCUGGGCAAUGAGCCGGCUCCCGAUGCCCAGCGCGACAAGAUCUCCUAAUAGAGACGAAGGUGUCCCGAUGUUUCGAUGAGAUAGCUAUCGUUUUCUGUGGGAGUCGACCUUGACGAUCCGACUACGAACGUGCGAGAUGUUGCGCCUUAGCAAUCGCUAAACCAACUUCCAAGGGGUUAUUGACCACGCCGGAGCACGAUCAACCUGACCACGAGGGUCUAUUUCUUGCAAGCAAACGAAGAAAAAGGAAGAAACUAAGAUUGCAAUCUGGAUAUUGCAAAUAUAAGAUGAAAGCUUUAUUGAUCAAGGUGCGCUUCUGUGACGUCUUUGUCUGGUCGUUGAACACAAACGAAGUACGCGCAGUUGCAGCUAUGCCGAACUUUUAAUCCAAACAAAACCCAAAGUCUAAACGACGCCCUAAGGGCUGUAUAUAUGGAGGAAGAGGGGGGGGGGGAUUUCGUGGCCCUUGGGGGAGGGGUCCGAAACCAGCCAUAUCUCUUGUUUCCCCACACAUACGGGCUCUAAAAACAGCCUAUACUUACGUAUUUCGAAAUUACAUGGGCCUGGCCCAAAAAUAAGAUGACGCAGCACCUAUAAUAGCCUCUGGACGAAAUUUGUGAAGUGGCAUCUUGUAUAUUUCGUCCAAGACUUCAUGCACUCAUUACGGUGGCUUCAAAGUCCUGAAAUCAUCACUUGAAACUCCGUUCUUGUUUUCCUUGCGCAUGCCAUCAUCUCCAUGCUUGUUCUUGCUCCAAUGUUCAUCCUUCUCCGAGCUAGUCCCUUCAUUUGUAAGCAAAACAAAUGUAUCCCAUUUAGAUAACACAAUAUUCUCAUGAACAUUAGAAUCAUUACCAAGAAACAAAAGUACCUGGUAAUUUAAUUGGCGUGCACGAGCUCUAGUAAUUGGUCCAGUAUGUGUGACGCCCCCGAUUUGACCGUACACUAAUCAUGCACGCAAAUGUGUACGACCAAGAUCAGGGACUCACGGGAAGAUAUCACAACACAACUCUAAAACAUAAAUAAGUCAUACAAGCAUCAUAAUACAAGCCAGGGGCCUCGAGGGCUCGAAUACAAGUGCUCGAUCAUAGACGAGUCAGCGGAAGCAACAAUAUCUGAGUACAGACAUAAGUUAAACAAGUUUUGCCUUAAGAAGGCUAGCACAAAAGUAGCAACGAUCGAAGAGGCAAGGCCUCCUGCCUGGGACCUCCUAACUACUCCUGGUCGUCGUCAGCGGCCUGCACGUAGUAGUAGGCACCUCCAGUGCCGUGGGAGUCGUCGUUGACGGUGGCGUCUGGCUCCUGGACUCCAACAUCUGGUUGCGACAACCAGAUAGAAAGGAAAGGGGGAAAAAGAGGGAGAGAAGCAACCGUGAGUACUCAUCCAAAGUACUCGCAAGCAAGGAGCUACACUACAUAUGCAUGGGUAUAUGUGUAAAGGGGCAUAUCAGUGGACUGAACUGCAGAAUGCCAGAAUUAAAAGGGGGAUAGCUAGUCCUGUCGAAGACUACGCUUCUGGUCAUCUCCAUCUUGCAGCAUAUAGAAGAGAAUAGAGUGAAGUCCUCCAAGUAGCAUCGCAUAGCAUAAUCCUACCCGGCAAUCCCCUCCUCGUCUCCCUGUUAGAGAGCGAUCACCGGGUUGUAUCUGGCACUUGGAAGGGUGUAUUUUAUUCAGUAUCCAGUUCUAGUUGUCAUAAGGUCAAGGUACAACUCCGGGUCGUCCUUUUACCGAGGAACACGGCUAUUCGAAUAGAUAAACUUCCCUGCAGGGGUGCACCACAUAACCCAACACGCUCGAUCCCAUUUGGCCGGACACACUUUCCUGGGUCAUGCCCGGCCUCGUAAGAUCAACGCGUCGCAGCCCCACCUAGGCUCAACAGAGAGGUCAGCACGCCGGUCUAAACCUAUGCGCGCAGGGGUCUGGGCCCAUCGCCCUAAGCACACCUGCACGUUGCGAACGCGGCCGCGAGCAGACCUAGCAACCCACACGAUCACGGCGGUUACGUCAAAGCGGUCCAACACGGCGCGCGCCACUCAGUCGCUGACGUCAAAAGAGCUUCGGCUGAUACCACGACGUCGGGAUACCCAUAACUACUCCCACGUAGAUGGUUAGUGCGUAUAGACCAAAUGGCCAGACUCAGAUCAAAUACCAAGAUCUCGUUAAGCGUGUUAAGUAUUCGCGAACGCCGACCAGGGCCAGGCCCACCUCUCACCUAGGCGGUCUCAACCUGCCCUGUCGCUUCGCCACAAAGAUCCACUUGCGGGUACUCCUACGAGCCGACCCGACUUUAGUCAUCUUAGGUGUCAUGUAUAUAAUAUAUAAGUAUAUGCCCGUGUCCACCGCCCAGGUGAUCACGGCCCGAUAGUAUAGCACAGCAGACGGACAAGAAUGUAGGGCCACUGAUGGAAAACUAGCAUCCUAUACUAAGCAGUAGGGUAGCAGGUAAGGGAAACAACUGUAGCAACAAUGACAGGCUAUGCAACAGAAUAGGAUUAACCGAAAGCAGUAACAUGCUACACUACUCUAAUGCAAGCAGUAUAGAGGAGAGUAGGCGAUAUCUGGUGAUCAAGGGGGGGGCUUGCCUGGUUGCUCUGGCAAGUAGGAGGGGUCGUCGACUCCGUAGUCGAACUGGGCAGCAGCAGUGUCGGUCUCGUAGUCUACCGGAGAGAAGAGGGGGAAGAAACAGUAAAUACAAUGCAAACAUAAGCAUGACGAUGCGUGACAUGACAGUGAGCGGUGCUAGGGGUGUCCUAACGCGACAGUAGGUGGUACCGGUGAAGGGGGGGGACAUCCGGGAAAGUAUUCCCGAUGUUUUGCGUUUUCGGACAGAAGGACCGGAGGGGGAAAGUUGCGAGUUCGAUAGGUUAGGGAGGUGUGGUGGACGCACGGACUGCGUAUCCGGAUUCGUCUCGUCGUUCUGAGCAACUUUCAUAUAGAAAACAUUUUCAUCCGAGUUACGGUUUAAAAGAUAUGAAUUUUAUAAGUUUAUUUGAAUUUCUGGAAUUAUUUAAUUAACAGAAAAAGGGAUAUGACGUCAGCAUGACGUAUGAGUGACGUCAGCGGUCAACAGUCCGGGUUGACUGGUCAAACUGACAAGGGGGACCCACCUGUCAUAGAUAGUGGGUUAACAGAGGAUUAAACUAAUUAGUUUUUAGUUAAUUAACUACUGGGCCCACCUGUCAGUGAGAGAUUAAUUAAACUAAUUAUUUUUAUUUAUAAAACAUUUUCUUUUUUAAUUUUUGCGGCGGGCCCGCAUGUCAGUGACUGGGCCUGCCCAGUCAGCAGUUGACUGGGUCAACCCAGUCAACUGGGACCCGUGGGGGCCACUGGCAGUGACCCAGGGGGUGGCCCCAGGUGUGCCACGUCGGCGGCCGGCACCGGAGCAAUGCCGGCGACCAGACGCACGGCGGCGCGGCUCGGGAGGGGUACGGGUUUCACGUACAGGGGGUCUCCGGGGGCGUGGCUGGGCGCGUUCGACGCGGCUCGACGUCGCGCGUCCAACGGCGGUGGUCGGAGGGGCUGGAACGGCCGGAGACGAGCGCUACGAACUCGCCGGCGGCGAGGAGCUACGGGUGCCCGACGGAAACAUAUCUACGGCGAGCUAACGAGAAAGCGGAGGGGCUGGGGGGCAUCUACAAACGGCGGGGAGUGCAACGGGCUUGACCCCGUGACCAUUUGGUCACCGGAGACCCGCCGGCGGCGAGCUCCGCGGCGCGGCGUUCGGGCGCGCGUGGGGGGAAAGCUAGGGAGCGUGGGCGAGCUAGCGGAGUGGGGGAGGAGGUAGAGGAGCUCACCGCGUGGCGCAAGAAAGGCCCGUGGGUGCUNNNNNNNNNNNNNNNNNNNNNNNNNNNNNNNNNNNNNNNNNNNNNNNNNNNNNNNNNNNNNNNNNNNNNNNNNNNNNNNNNNNNNNNNNNNNNNNNNNNNNNNNNNNNNNNNNNNNNNNNNNNNNNNNNNNNNNNNNNNNNNNNNNNNNNNNNNNNNNNNNNNNNNNNNNNNNNNNNNNNNNNNNNNNNNNNNNNNNNNNNNNNNNNNNNNNNNNNNNNNNNNNNNNNNNNNNNNNNNNNNNNNNNNNNNNNNNNNNNNNNNNNNNNNNNNNNNNNNNNNNNNNNNNNNNNNNNNNNNNNNNNNNNNNNNNNNNNNNNNNNNNNNNNNNNNNNNNNNNNNNNNNNNNNNNNNNNNNNNNNNNNNNNNNNNNNNNNNNNNNNNNNNNNNNNNNNNNNNNNNNNNNNNNNNNNNNNNNNNNNNNNNNNNNNNNNNNNNNNNNNNNNNNNNNNNNNNNNNNNNNNNNNNNNNNNNNNNNNNNNNNNNNNNNNNNNNNNNNNNNNNNNNNNNNNNNNNNNNNNNNNNNNNNNNNNNNNNNNNNNNNNNNNNNNNNNNNNNNNNNNNNNNNNNNNNNNNNNNNNNNNNNNNNNNNNNNNNNNNNNNNNNNNNNNNNNNNNNNNNNNNNNNNNNNNNNNNNNNNNNNNNNNNNNNNNNNNNNNNNNAGGGAAGGGGCGAGGGAGGAGGUGGGCUGGGCCGGGGGCGCGGCUGCGGCCCAGUUUGGGCCGGGGGGGCAGUGGGGGGAAAGCGGGCCCUUUUCCCCUUUUUUUUCUUUUUCUCUGCCUGGGUUCUGUUUUCUGUUUUCUCUUUAUUUGCUUAUUCCCUUUUCUGUUUUAUUUCAUUUAAAAGUAUUUAGACAUUUUAUAAAAAUGUGUUUUCUCCACCAUAAUUACCAGUGUAUUAUUUAGCACUCACAGAACAUUUUUGUUUGAGUUUUUGAAAACUUUUAUUUUUCACUUUAAUUAUAUUUGAAGUUUGAACUAGGAGUUUGACAGGGGUGGGGUUCCAAUGUGAUCAAGCCCUGUUUAGCAACAUGAUUAGCUUAAUCACAGGGGGUUACUGUAGCAUGAUUCUCAGGGUGUUACAGUAUGUAUAGUAGCAGGGGCUGUUGGUGUAACAAUGGUAUUGAUGUCCUCAUCAUCCACCCUUUAUUGAAAUCAAGUUGUCCUCGAUGGAAGCUCAUCUUCCUCACCCAAAUAAGGCUUCAAAUCUGCAAUGCUAAAAGUGGGACUAACCCCAAAAUCUACAGGCAGCUCAAGUUUAUAUGCAUUAUCAUUUAUUUUCUCUAACACCUUAAAGGACCAUCAGCAUGUGGCAUUAGCUUUGAUUUGCGCAAAUCAGGAAAUCUAUCCUUGUGCAAAUGUAACCAAACAAGAUCUCCAGGUGCAAACACAACAUGUUUUCUACCCUUAUCUCCAGCAAGUUUAUAUUUAGUAUUUAUAUGCUCAAUGUUUUCCUUAGUUAACUCAUGCACUUUUAAAAUCAAUUCAGCACGUUGUUUAGCAUCAAAAUUAACCUUCUCCGAAGAUGGAAGAGGCAAUAAAUCAAUAGGUGCACGAGGUAGGAAACCAUACACAAUUUCAAAAGGGCACAUCUUAGUAGUAGAAUGCAAUGAACGAUUAUAAGCAAAUUCAAUAUGAGGCCAGCAUUCUUCCAACAUUUUCUUAUUAUUCCUCAAAACAGCCCUAAGCAUAGUAGACAAUGUUCUAUUGACUACUUCAGUUUGUCCAUCAGUUUGGGGGUGACAAGUAGUACUAAAAGGCAGUUUAGUCCCCAACUUAGCCCAUAAACAUCUCCAAAAGUGGCUAAGAAAUUUAGUAUCACGAUCUGAAACAAUAGUAUUUGUCACACCAUGCAAGCGAAUAAUUUCACGAAAGAACAAAUCAGCAACAUUAACAACAUCAUCACUUUUAUGACAUGGUAUAAAGUGUGCCAUUUUCGAGAAUCUAUCCACGACAACAAAUAUGCUAUCUCUCCCCUUCUUUGUUCGAGGUAAACCUAAAACAAAGUCCAUAGAUAUAUCCUCCCAAGGAACACUAGGUACAGGCAAAGGCAUAUAUAAACCAUGAGGAUUGAGUCGUGACUUAGCUUUUUGACAUGUAGUGCAGCGAGCAACAAAACGCUCAACAUCCCGUCUCAUCUUUUGCCAAAAGAAAUGUGUAGCAAGUACGUCCUCCGUUUUCUUCACACCAAAGUGUCCCAUUAAUCCUCCUCCAUCCGCCUCCUGCAACAAGAAAAGACGAACAGAGCUAGCUGGAAUGCAUAGCUUGUUAGCACGGAACACAAAUACAUCAUUAACGACGAACUUGUUCCAUGUUCUUCCUUCUUUACAAUUCUGGAUUACAUCUUUAAAAUCAGCAUCAUGCACAUAUUGAUCUUUGAUGGUCUCCAAACCAAAUAUUUCGAAGUCAAGUUGUGAAAGCAUAGUAUAGCGACAAGACAAUGCAUCAACAAUAACAUUUUCUUUACCCUUCUUGUGUUUAAUGACAUAAGGGAAAGUCUCAAUGAAUUCAACCCAUUUAGCAUGUCUACGAUUCAAUUUGGCUUGACUUUUAAUAUGUUUCAAAGAUUCAUGAUUAGAAUGUAUAACAAAUUCUUUGGGCCAUAAAUAACGUUGACAUGUUUCUAAAGUCCGAACAAGAGCAUAUAAUUCUUUAUCAUAAGUUGAAUAAUUCAGACUAGGCCCACUCAAUUUUUCAGAAAAGUAUGCAACAGGUUUACCAUCUUGUAAUAACACACCUCCUAAUCCAAUUCCACUAGCAUCACAUUCAAGCUCAAAAGUCUUAUUAAAAUGAGGAAGUUGGAGUAAAGGAGCAUGUGUCAACUUAUCUUUCAAUACCGUGAAGGCUUCUUCCUGUGCGGUACCCCAAACAAAAGGCACAUCCUUCUUUGUAAGCUCAUUGAGAGGUGCAGCAAUGGUGCUGAAAUCUCUCACAAAACGCCUAUAGAAUCCAGCGAGGCCAAGAAAACUCCUCACUUGUGUGACCAUUUUGGGCUACGGCCAACUCGCAAUAGCUUCAAUCUUGGCUGUAUCAACUUCAGUUCCCUGUGGAGUAACAACAUAGCCCAGAGAAGAUACCCGGUCGGUGCAAAAGGUGCACUUCCCAAGGUUACCAAACAAACGUGCAUCACGUAGAGCAAUAAAAACAGAAUGCAAAUGUUCCUCCAAAGAUCUGCUAUAAAUCAGUAUAUCAUCAAAAUAGACUACCACAAAUCAUCCAAUGAAAGCACGUAAAACUUCAUUCAUUAAUCUCAUGAAAGUACUAGGUGCAUUAGUUAACCCAAAAGGCAUGACUAACCACUCAUAUAAUCCAAACUUAGUUUUAAAUGUUGUUUUCCAUUCAUCUCCCAGUUUCAUACGAAUUUGAUGGUAUCCACUAUGCAAAUCAACUUUGGAGAAUAUUGUAGAGCCACUCAAUUCAUCAAGCAUGUCAUCUAGCCUAGGAAUAGGAUGACGAUAACAAAUAGUAAUAGUAAUAUCAACUUUGGAGAAUAUUAUAGUAACAUUAAUGCCUCUACAAUCAACACACAUACGCGACGUACCAUCCUUUUUGGCACUAGUAUAAUAGGAACAACACAAGGACUAAGAGAUUCGCGUAUAUAACCUUUGUCGAGCAGCUCCUGUACUUGACGCAUAAUCUCCUUCGUCUCCUCUGGAUUGGUACGGUAUGGUGCACGGUAUGGCAGCGAAGCACCGGGAAUUAAGUCAAUCUGAUGCUCAAUCCCUCGAAUAGGUGGUAAUCCCGGUGGCACGUCUUGUAGAUAGACGUCAGCGAACUCCUGCAAAAUGUUAGUGACAGCAGGAUGCAAAGAGGAAGGUACAUCCUCGAAAGAAAAUAAUGCCCCUUUGCACACAAAAGCAUAGCAAACAGAUUUGCUGAAAUCUAGAUCAUCAAUAUCAAAUUUGGUGGCAAGUAAACAUGCACUUUUUGAUUUGAUUUCAGAAGCAACACUAGAUGGUUUAUUAUUAGGCUUCAUUCGUUGCUCAUAUUAUUUUGCCACAAUCUGAUAUUCACUCUUAGUUUUCUCUUGUUUUGCUUUAUUAGCUCUAUUAAUAUCAUCUUUCAAAAUGGAAUCAGGAGUCAUAGGAAGCAAAGUAAUAUUUUUAUCCUUAUGAACAAGAGUAUAGUGAUUGUCUCUACCAUGGUGUACAGAAUUUUUAUAAAAUUGCCAUGGUCUACCAAGUAAUAAGGAACAUGCUUGCAUAGGUACCACAUCACAAUCAACAUAAUCAGCAUAUGUAGAUAUACUAAAAUGCACACGAACAAUACGUGUUACCUUAACCUUGACACUGUUGUCGAACCAUUGGAUGUAGUAAGGAUGUGGAUGUGGUCUUGUGGUGAGAGAUAGCUUCUCCACCAUCUCUAUGCUAGCCAAGUUGUUGCAACUCCCUCCAUCUAUGAUGACGCGAAUAGAACGUUCCUUCACAACUCCCUUUGUAUGGAACAAAUUAUGCCUCUGAUUUUUCUCAGCACGUGUGACCUGCACACUCAAAACACGUUGAGCAACUAAGCAUUCAUACUUGUCAGCGUCUUCAGGAGCCAUGUAUUGCGUCUCAUGAUCAGAAUCAUCUCCACCGUGUUCUUCACUUGUAAUAAGAGCCUAAGUCUUCUCAGCAUAGUCACUAGCGGACUCAUACCCACCAUCCUCAGUAGAAAUCAUCACACGCUUAGAUGGGCAUUCUCUCGCAUGGACCUCCACCCUUGCAACGACGAAAAAUAUUACCAUGUGUUUGCCCUGUUGAUGCCAUGGAUGAAGAAGAGCUCUGUGCGGAACCGGAAGGUGUACUCCUGGCAGAUGGUGGUGGUGGUGCCUGUUUUCUUGUAUCUCGGUUGGAAUUGGCGGCUGAAGUCAGUGGUGCUGCAGUAGGACGUGUGGGAGUAGAGGAUGCACGCGGUGUCCAUGAUGAAGGUCGACCUGCAGAAAAGUUAGUUCGCGCCAAUGCCAGUCGAUCCCGCACUUCACGUUCAGCUUUGCAAGGAAGAUGGAAUAAACAAGUGAUAUUAUUAUACUCCUUAUACUCUAGAAUGGUCUGAAUCUCUUUAUUUAAUCCACCCAUAAAACGUGCAAGCAUAGCUUCAUUAUCCUCAACAAUACCACAUCUAAUCAUUCCAGUUUGUAAUUCCUAAUAAUAUUCUUCUACAAAUUUUUUUCCUUGUCUUAAACGCUGCAAUUUUUGAAGUAAUUCACGUUGAUAAUAUGGUGGAACCCAACGAGUACGCAUAGCAGUUUUCAAGGCAGCCCAAGUAGCUGGAAUAGGAUAUAAUCUACAAUGUUCAGACCAGCAAACACAUGCAAAACUAGUGAAAGCACAAACAUCAGCAGGAACACGUCUCUCCUAAGGAUAUUCUAAACAUGUAAAACGUUGUUCAGUUUCUAACUCCCAAGUAAGAUAUAUAUCAGGAACAUAUCUACCCUCAAAUGGUGGAAUAUUCAAUUUUAGUUUAGGAAGAUGGUCAUGAUCUCGUACCUCAGGCGGUGGUGCAGCCCUACCGUUGCGAUGACAUGCAUGAGGACGACCUGGUGGUGGUGGUGGUGCUGGUGGUUGCAUGUAGUUAUGAUUUUGAUCAACCUCAUCCUCGUAAUGGUCCUCCACCUCUGCAGUAGCAGCAGGAGCUACAGAAGCAUCAACAGUAGGUACAUUGACACCCGAAUUUUGACCAGGCUCAAGUGGAAUGCGCAGUGCUCGUCCCACUUGAUUUGGAAGGCGAUGUUGUUGUUGUUGCUGUUGUUGUUGUUGUUGUUGUUGUUGUUGUUGUUGUUGUUGUUGUUGUUGUUGUUGCUGCUGCUGUAGAGGUGCGACAGGUGCAACGGGCGGUGGUUUGUGGAAGACGCGCGGGCAAUUCAUUAAACUUGUGAUCGAGCUUUGUUUCGAACGCCUUCUCAAUGCCAUCUAUCUUCUCCAUGGCCUCUUCAAAUCUGUUUAGCACAUCUUCCACCUGUCCACUCAUCAUGUGCUAAAAUUUAUCAUGUAGCUGUUUGUUCGUCAUGUUCUCCCAAUCAGUCUCAUCGGCUUGUGAUCCUGCCAUGGUUAGCAGCAAUAGAAACACACAAGAAUAUGAUCCUACAGACUACUAGGAAGUGGUGAUCGGCAACCGUUGUAGUCAAAACUCUCAAAGAAUGGACAGAGUGAUUGCUAGGUGGUGUCAAACGCACGCUAGAUUGGACAGAGUUUUGAUUUUUUUCCCGAAACCUACUCAGGCAAGGAAACACGAAUCGGAAAAUAGAUGGAUCUCGAAAACAAACCUAGUGUGAAAAGAACUCAGAUUGGUGGUGGAUAUAUGGUAGCGGUGGUGGUAUAUGGUAGCGGUGGUGGUAUAUGGUAGCGGUGGUGGUAUAUGACAGCGGUGGUAGUAUAUGGUAGCGGUGGUGGUAUAUGGAUACAGAUCGGUGGUGGUAUAUUGAUACGGAUCGGUGGUGGUAUAAGCGGUGGCGGUAGAUGGCUGCUACCUCUUGAGCAUGCGUUGGUUUUCCCUUGAAGAGGAAAGGGUGGUGCAGCAAAGUAGCGUAAGUAUUUCCCUCAGUUUUUGAGAACCAAGGUCUCAAUCCAGUAGGAGACUACACGCAAAUCGCCUAGUACCUGCACAAACAAUAAAGAACCUUGCAACCAACGCGAUAAAGGGGUUGUCAAUCCCUUCACGGCCACUUGCAAAAGUGAGAUCUGAUAAAGAUAAUAAGAUAAAUAUUUUUGGUAUUUUUGUUGUAUAGAUUGGAAAAUAAAGAUUGCAAAAUAAACGGCGACAGAGAUAGCUAGUUGACGGGAAAAUAAUAUGAUGUAAAAUAGACCCGGGGGCCAUAGGUUUCACUAGUGGCUUCUCUCAAGAUAGCAUAUCUUACGGUGGGUGAACAAUAUACUGUCGAGCAAUUGAUAGAAAAAUGCAUAGUUAUGAGAAUAUCUAGGCAUGAUCAUCAACAUAGGCAUCACGUGCGUGUCAAGUAGACCAAAACGAUUCUGCAUCUACUACUAUUACUCCACACAUCGACCACUAUCCAGCAUGCAUCUAGAGUAUUAAGUUCAUAAGAACAGAGUAACGCAUUAGGCAAGAUGACAUGAUGUAGAGGGAUAAACUCAAGCAAUAUGAUAUAAGCCCCAUUUUUUUAUCCUUGAUGGCAACAAUACAAUACGUGUCGUUUCCCUUUCUGUCACUGGGAUCGAGCACCGCAAGAUUGAACCCACAGCUAAGCACUUCUCCCAUUGCAAGAAAGAUCAAUCUAGUAGGCCUAACCAAACUGAUAAUUCAAAAGACUUGCAAAGAUAUUAAAUCAUGCAUAUAAGAAUUCAGAGAAGAAUCAAAUAUUGUUCAUAGAUAAUCUUGAUCAUAAACCCACCAUUCAUCGGAUCUCGACAAACACACCGCAAAAAGAAUUACAUCGAAUAGAUCUCCAAGAAGAUCGAGGAGAACUUUGUAUUGAGAUCCAAAGAGAGAGAAGAAGCCAUCUAGCUAAUAACUAUGGACCCGAAGGUCUAUGGUAAACUACUCACACAUCAUCGAGAGGCUAUGGUGUUGAUGUAGAAGCCCUCCGUGAUCGAAUCCCCCUUUGGCGGAGCGUCGGAAAAGGCCCCAAGAUGGAUCUCACGGGUACAGAAGGUUGCAGCGGUGGAAAAGUGGUUUCGUGGCUCCCCUCGAUGUUUUCAAGGUAUAAGAGUAUAUAUAGGCGAAAGAAGUAGGUCGGUGGAGCUGCGAGGGGCCCACGAGGGUGGGGGGCACACCUACCCCCUGGGCCCGCCCUCCUACCUCGUGGAUGCCUCGUGGCUUCCUUGACGUCCACUCCAAGUCUCCUGGAUUGCGUUUGUUCCAAAAACGAUCCUCGCGAAGGUUUCAUUCCGUUUGAUAUUGCUUUUCUGUGAAACACUGAAAUAGGCAAAAAAACAGCAAUUUGCACUGGGCCUUCGGUUAAUAGGUUAGUCCCAAAAAUAAUAUAAAAGAGCAUAUUACAGCCCAUUAAACAUCCAAAACAGAUAAUAUAAUAGCACGGAACAAUAAAAAUUAUAGAUACGUUGGAGACGUAUUAAUGGCUGGGGCGAUGAUGAUGGUGCGGUGGCGGCGUGACAACUUAUGACCAGAACUCGAAACUCUAAAAGACUAGACGCUAAGACUAGCAACUCGACACGACGAUGCAACUACAAGUUCAACAAAGCAAAAUACUGAAAAGACCAUGCAAAGGCUCAGACUGGUUCGGAUAUGAUGAACUAACCCUAAUUUUUUUGGCUUUUUCGUGGACUGUAGGUAUGAAGAAUAGACUCGAUCUAAACUACGAAAAACUCUAAAAUCUCACCGAGCAAUCUAGAAAUCUGAUACCACUUGAUAGAGGCAAAGGUGUCCCGAUGUUUCAAUGAGAUAGCUAUCGUUUUCUGUGGGAGUCGACCUUGAUGAUCUGACUACGAACGUGCGAGACAUCGCGCCUUAGCAAUCGCUAAACCAACUUCCGAGGGGUUAUUGACCACGUCGGAGCAUGAUCAACCUGACCACGAGGGUGUAUUUCCUGCAAGCAAAUGAAGAACAAGCUAAGAUUGCAAUCUGGAUAUUCCGAAUAUAAGAUGAACGCUUUAUUGAUCAAGGUGGGGUUCUGUGACGUCUUUGUCUGGUCGUUGAACACAAACGAAGUAUGCGAAGUUGCAGCUAUGGCGAACUUUUAAUCCAAACAAAACCCAAAGUCUAAAUGACGCCCUAAGGGCUGUAUAUAUGGAGGAAGAGUGGGGGGGGGGGGAUUUCGUGGCCCUUGGGGGAGGGGUCCGAAACCAACCCUAUAUCUUGUUUCCCCACACCAUACAUACGGACUCUAAAAGCAGCCUAUACUUAUGUAUUUCGAAACUACACGGGCCUGGCCCAAAAAUAAGGUGAUGCAACACCUAUAAUAGCCUCUGGACGAAAUUUAUGAAGUGGCAUCUUGUAUAUUUCGUCCAAGAAUUCAUGCACUCAUUACGGUGGCUUCAAAGUCCUGAAAUCAUCACUUGAAACUCCGUUCUUGUUUCCCUUGUGCAUGCCAUCAUCUCCAUGCUUGUUCUUGCUCCAAUGUUCAUCCUUCUCCGAGCUAGGCCCUUCAUUUGUAAGCAAAACAAAUGUAUCCAAUUUAGGCAGCACCAUAUUCUCAUGAACAUUAAAAUCAUCACCAAGAAACGAAAGUACGUGGUAAUUUAAUUGGCGUGCACGAGCUCUAGUAACUGGUCCAGUAUGUAUAGUAGCAGGGGCUGUGGGUGUAACAAUGGUAUUGAUGUCCUCAUCAUCUCCCCACCAGCCAGAAGUCAUGGCCGGCCAGCUUCGGCCGGUCUGGCUCCCCACGGCAUUGUCACAAGCCGGCUGGGUCCGCGUGACAUCGACAACAACGAUGCUCGCCACCGCAUCAAGCAAUUUGCCCUUUCCAUCGAGAUGGGGGAAGACAACGCGGUUAGUCUGGCUUGUUUCGGUCCUCGCAUCCACGACGAGCCCUUCCACAAGGGGUUCACACUUCCCCGCGACACCCCAAGUACAACGGGACCAUCAAGCCGGAGGACUGGCUCAUCGACUACACCACAGCCAUCGGCAUCGCGGGCGACAACCGGCGUCUGGCCGUGCGCUAUGCUCCGCUCGUGCUGCAGGGCUCAGCCUGGACGUGGCUGCACAGCCUACCAUCUAGCAACGCCAACUCGUGGGUCGACUUUGAGCAGGCCUUCGUGCACAACUUCAUUGGCACCUACAAGUGACCCGGCCACCCCAGCCAGCUCGCCAUGUGCAUCCAGGGGGCAAACGAGACCGGCCGUCAGUACCUUGCACGCUAGACCAAGCUCCGGAACAGCUGCAAGGGGGUCCAUGAGGUUCAAGCCAUCCAGUACUUUGUGAACGGUUGCCAGGACGACACCCUACUCAAGCACAAGCUCCUGCGCUCCGAGCCGACCACCAUGGCCCUGCUCAUGGUCACGACAGACAAGUAUGCCAAAGCCGACUCCGCCAUGAAGAUCCAAGUCGUGCUGGACAAGGCCGGCAAGGCAUUGCCGGCACCGCCCCCAAGCCAGCUGGCGAGAGCAGCCACCAACAGAACAACAAGUGCAAGGCCGAGCAGCCGGCUCCCCGCUACGACAACCGCCUUGUCGCUACCACUAAUCAAGCACCCGCGGCUGAGCUGGCCGGCAACCAGCGUCAGUGAACUGGCAAGACCGCCUGGCAACCCGCCAUGAGCUUCGAGGAGAUGCUCGAUGCCCCCUGCAAGCACCACAGCGGCACGAGGCUGUCUACGCGCACGCUCCGGCAGUGCGCCAUCACCAAGCGCAUCAUGAGGGGCGACAUCCCCCCGCCGCCUCCUCCUCCUCCGACACCGGGUGCUGGGCAGCCGCAGCCGCCUUCGCCCCUGGCAGUCGGCACAAUGCGCGAUGAACUCUUCCCCAACCAGAAUGCAAGCUAUGUCGUAUUCACCAGCCUAGGUGGCGACAAGCAUAGAGAGUGCCUCCUCCGGCAGGAGGUGAACACCGUCAUUCCAGCCGUGCCCGAAUACAUGCACUUGUUGGAGCGCCCGGUCAGCUGGACCCAGGAGGACCACCCGGCCGUCAUGACUAUGCUGGGUGGCUACGCCCUCGUCGUCGACCCCACCAUAGUCGGUGCGAAGCGCACCUACAAGUUCUCGCGAGUCCUCAUCGAUGGCGGCAACAACAUCAACAUGCUCUACCGCGAUAUCAUGACCAAGCUCGGCAUCGAGGCAAGGCAGCUGUAGCCGACCCGGACGGUGUUCCAUGGCAUCGUGCCGGGCCUCUGCUGCUCCCCGAUCAUCCGAAUCCGGCUUGACGUCCUCUUCGGCACUAGUGACCAUUUUUGGCGCGAGCCUAUCUAGUUCAAGAUGGUGGACUUGUCCAGCGCCUACCACACACUCCUAGGCCGGUCCGCGCGGGCAAAGUUCUUGGUGGUUCCCCACUACGCCUACUUGAAAAUGAAGAUGCCGGGUCCCAAGGGCCUCAUCACUAUUGUGGGCACCUACAAGAAGUCCCUGGAGUGCGCCCAAGCCGGCGCCAAGCUGGUUGAGUCGCUGGUCAUAGCUGAGGAGCGGCGCCAGCUCGACCGGAUCAUGGUGCUAGCCGCCGAGUAGCCGGCUGUGCCGGCUUCGGCCAAGGAGUCAGCUGGUAAGGUCUCUUUCCAGCCGUCCAAGGAUACCAAGAAGAUCCCGCUCAACCCGGAAGACUGCAGCUGCAGCAAGUACGUUGUUGUGGGCACCCGCCUCAAUAGCAAAUAGGAAGGCGAGCUCGUCGACUUCCACCGUGAGAAUCGGGAUAUCUGUGCAUGGUCCCCAAAGGACAUGCCAGGAGUUUUGAGGAAGUACAGCGAGCACAAACUACACAUCCACAAGGACGGUAAGCCUCUCCGCAAACCGUUGCACCACUUUUUUGAGGAGAAGCGGAGAACCAUCAGUGAAGAAGUCGUUGAUACGUCUCCGUCGUAUCUAUAAUUUUUGAUUGUUCCAUGCCAAUAUUCUACUACUUUUACAUACUUUUGGCAACUUUUAUACUAUUUUUGGGACUAACAUAUUGAUCCAGUGCCCAGUGCCAGUUCCUGUUUGUUGCAUGUUUUUUGUUUCGCAGAAAAUCCAUAUCAAAUGGAGUCCAAACGGGAUAAAAACUGACGAAGAUUUUUUUGGAAUAUAUGUGAUUUUUGGGAAGAAGAAUCAACGCGAUACGAUGCCCGAGGGGGCCACGAGGCAGGGGGGCGCGCCCUGGGCCCUCAUGGCCACCCUGUAAGGCGGUUGGUUCCCUUCUUUCUCCGCAAGAAAGCUAAUAUCCGGAUAGAGAUCGUGUCCAAAAUUCAGCCCAAUCGGAGUUACGGAUCUCUGGGAAUGUAAGAAAGGGUGGAAGGGCAGAAUCCGGCAGCGCAGAAACAAAGAGAGACAGAGAGACAGAUCCAAUCUCGGAGGGGCUCUCGCCCCUCCCACGCCAUGGAGACCAUGGACCAGAGGGGAAACCCUUCUCCCAUCUAGGGAGAAGGUCAUGGAAGAAGAAGGAGGGGGGCUCUCUCCCCCUCGCUUCCGGUGGCACCGGAGUGCCGCUGGGGCCAUCAUCGUCACCGCAAUCUACACUAACAACUUCACCGCCGUCAUCACCAACUCUUCCCCCCUCUAUGCAGCGGUGUAACCCCUCUUUUACCCGCUGUAAUCUCUACUUAAACUUGGUGCUCAACGCUAUAUAUUAUUUCCCAAUGAUGUAUGGCUAUCCUAUGAUGUUUGAGUAGAUCCGUUUUAUCCUAUGGGUUAAUUGAUGAUCAUGAUUGGUUUGAGUUGCAUGUUUUAUUAUUGGUGCUGUCCUAUGGUGCUCUCCAUGUCGCGCAAGCAUGAGGGAUCCCCGCUGUAGGGUUUGCAAUAUGUUCAUGGUUUGCUUAUUGUCUGUGUUGCGUGAGUGACUGAAACACAAACACGGAUAAGUGGGUCAUGGUGUAUGGGAAUAAAGAGGACUUGAUACUUUAAUGCUAUGGUUGGGUUUUAGCUUAAUAAUCUUUAGUAGUUGCGGAUGCUUGUUAGAGUUCCAAUCAUAAGUGCAUAUGAUCCAAGAAGAGAAAGUAUGUUAGCUUAUGCCUCUCUCUCAAAUAAAAUUGCAACAAUGAUUACCGGUCUAGUUAUCGAUUUCCUAGGGACAAAUAACUUUAUCGUGACAAAAAGCUCUUUACUAAAACUAAUUUAGUUGUGUCUUUAUAUAAACAACCCCUACUUUUUAUUUACGCGCUCUUUAUUAUCUUGCAAACCUAUCCAAAAACACCUACAAAGUACUUCUAGUUUCAUACUUGUUCUAGGUGAAGCGAACGUUAAGCGUGCGUAGAGUUGUAUUGGUGGUCGAUAGAACUUGAGGGAAUAUUUGUUCUACCUUUAGCUCCUCGUUGGGUUCGACACUCUUACUUAUCGAAAGAGGCUACAAUUGAUCCCCUAUACUUGUGGGUUAUCAAGACCUUUUUCUGGUGCCGUUGUCGGGGAGUUAUAGUGUGGGGUGAAUAUUCUCAUGUGUGCUUGUUUGCUUUAUCACUAAGUAGUUUUUAUUUGCUGUUCUAAGUUGUUCUCUAUAUUUAGUUAUGGAUUUGGAACACGAAAUACCAAAAAAAAA